GUGGGGAAUCUUGUGCAAUGGGCGAAAGCCUGACGCAGCCAUGCCGCGUGAAUGAUGAAGGUCUUAGGAUUGUAAAAUUCUUUCACCGGGGACGAUAAUGACGGUACCCGGAGAAGAAGCUCCGGCUAACUUCGUGCCAGCAGCCGCGGUAAUACGAAGGGGGCUAGCGUUGCUCGGAAUUACUGGGCGUAAAGGGCGCGUAGGCGGACAGCUUAGUCAGAGGUGAAAGCCCAGGGCUCAACCUUGGAAUUGCCUUUGAUACUGGCUGUCUUGAGUUUGGGAGAGGUGAGUGGAACUCCGAGUGUAGAGGUGAAAUUCGUAGAUAUUCGGAAGAACACCAGUGGCGAAGGCGACUCACUGGCCCAAUACUGACGCUGAGGCGCGAAAGCGUGGGGAGCAAACAGGAUUAGAUACCCUGGUAGUCC
rnacentral:rRNA from 1 species